rnacentral:rRNA from 1 species
GACGAACGCUGGCGGCGUGCUUAACACAUGCAAGUCGAACGAAGUGGCGAACGGGUGAGUAACGCGUAAUCAACCUGCCCUUCAGAGGGGGAAAACAGUUGGAAACGACUGCUAAUACCGCAUACGGAAGGAGGGGAUUGCGUGUGAUUAGCUCGUUGGAGGGGUAACGGCCCACCAAGGCGAGGAUCAGUAGCCGGGCUGAGAGGGUGAACGGCCACAUUGGGACUGAGAAACGGCCCAGACUCCUACUGGAUGCAGCAGGGGGGAAUUUUCCGCAAUGGACGGAAGUCUGACGGAGCAACGCCGCGUGAGUGAUGACGGCCUUCGGGUUGUAAAGCUCUGUUAAUCGGGACGCGGUACCGGAAUAGAAAGCCACGGCUAACUCCGUGCCAGCAGCCGCGGUAAUUC